AUGCAGGACUGGUACAAUCAGGAGAAGCCUAUACCUUCAUGGGCUGAAAAACACCCAAGUGAAAAGAUCUCACACCCAGGCCUUGAGACACUGCUUGUCCGAGAAAAAGACCUGCAGGACCUCCUACAGGAAAAAAUUAAAAUCACCAAGAAGCAGCUUUCCCAGACUGAGUUGUGCUGCAUAAGGAAGGAAGGAUUUAGUAACUACAUGAGACUUUUGUACCAUAUCCCAGAAGAAGGCCUGUUGGAUGUGAAGAAUGCUUUGUUUAACACUGAAUUGCCUGAGCAUGGUCACCUCUUUUCGUGUAUCUUAGAAAAAGAUGCCAAUCUGGCUAAAACAAUGGCAACUCAAGCUACUAGCAGCACAACAGAGAGGAAAUGGGAUUCAUUUAAUGUGGUGUGCAAAAUAAUGGAAAUGCAUAAAACUGAUGGCCCACCUCCACUAGAACCACCACCAUUAAAACAUAAGGUUCCUUACAUAUUAAAGCCACUGAGGAACCUACCUCCCAUAGAACAUCCACAGUCACCAGCACUGCCACCAUUUCCAUUUCCCCCUCCAAAUCCACCCAGUCCCCCUUUCUCACGGACAGCCGCCACUUUUCCACCAAUAACACAGUUGGAUCUAAAUCCAACCACCCCAUCUCCUCCACAAUCAGCCAAACCUUCAAGGCCACUCAGUUGUUCACAGAUGUCCUCCCCACCUAAAUCAACCAGUCCUACUCUCCCAUCUGUGCCCUCCAAGCCAAAACCCCUCGUUCUGCCUCCCCAACAAACUCCAUUCCAAUCAAAGCCACCCACUACCUCUUUCCCACCCAUUCUUCCAACACUAUCUGCUCAUGCAUCCCCGUCUUUACCGUCCAAGUCAAUCAAAUUGCCAAUUAUCCCUGCCCCACUGGAAUCAUUUCCACAACAUCCCCCUUUUCUUCAACGAUAUUUGAAUGAAGAUUGGUUCCCUGAUGUCUACCCAGACCUUAAGGUUUCUGACUAAUAAUGUAAAAUGUAUACAGGCAGCAACAUUUACAUUUACAUUUAAAGCAUUUAUCAGACACCCUUAUCCAGAGCGACUUACAAUUAGUAGUUACAGGGACAGUCCCCCUGGAGCAACUUAGGGUUAAGUGUCUUGCUCAGGGACACAAUGGUAGUAAGUGGGAUUUGAACCUGGGUCUUCUGGUUCAUAGACGAGUGUGUUACCCACUAGGCUACUACCAUCCCAACAUUUCAUUGUGUUGAAUUUACUGCAGCAAUGCAUGUGUAUUAAUUUUUUGUUUUUGUGUGUGUGUGUGUGUGUGUGUGCAUUUGCUCGGACGGCUCGGACACUUUAGACUAUUCCUGCAUAUCUCUCACCAGAGGACUUUUCCAGACGUCUUCUAGAAUACAUGUCAAAGAACCAUGGUGAACAGAAAUUCCAACUCCUAAAUGCACUGGUGGAUUUAUACAAUCAGAGAGAGCUAAGAAACAAGAAGGUGCUCAUCAAACGCUUGAUGGCCUGCCUGCAGCAAAACACCACGACAAGCAUGGUGGCUGAUCCAAAAAGCAAGCAGAUUUAGGCUCUCAAAUUAUUCAUUAAUUCAAUAGGAGCAUGAUUGUGUAUUUGUGUCUUUUAGUCAUUUGAAGAGAGGCAAUUUGUGAGGGAGCUGCUGAACUUUUUGAUAAUGCUGGAUCCUAACAGCCAUAAGCUCAUGGUGGAGCUUCUCACCCUACUGGCUAACAAAGCCUUGCACUUCCAGUGAGUUUUUUUUUUUUUUUUUUUUACUGCAUCACAGUUCAGACAGCUUUCGUUUCAUAAAGUAAGCAUAUUCAACAGUCACUAGAAUAAAUGUUUUAUGAUGCCAUCA
rnacentral:lncRNA from 1 species